AGUGGCGGACGGGUGAGUAACGCGUGAGAAUCUGCCUUGGGGUCGGGGACAACCACUGGAAACGGUGGCUAAUACCGGAUAAGCCGAUUGGUGAAAGAUUUAUUGCCCGAAGAGGAGCUCGCGUCUGAUUAGCUAGUUGGUGAGGUAAGAGCUCACCAAGGCAGCGAUCAGUAGCUGGUCUGAGAGGACGAUCAGCCACACUGGGACUGAGACACGGCCCAGACUCCUACUGGAGGCAGCAGUGGGGAAUUUUCCGCAAUGGGCGAAAGCCUGACGGAGCAAGACCGCGUGAGGGAGGAAGGCUCUUGGGUUGUAAACCUCUUUUCUCAGGGAAGAAGCUCUGACGGUACCUGAGGAAUCAGCCUCGGCUAACUCCGUGCCAGCAGCCGCGGUAAUACGGAGGAGGCAAGCGUUAUCCGGAAUUAUUGGGCGUAAAGCGUCCGCAGGUGGCGAUUCAAGUCUGCUGUCAAAGCACGGGGCUUAACUCCGUAAAGGCAGUGGAAACUGAAUAGCUAGAGUGCCGUAGGGGUAGAGGGAAUUCCCGGUGUAGCGGUGAAAUGCGUAGAGAUCGGGAAGAACAUCGGUGGCGAAAGCGCUCUACUGGACGGCAACUGGCACUCAGGGACGAAAGCUAGGGGAGCGAAUGGGAUUAGAUACCCC
rnacentral:rRNA from 1 species